rnacentral:lncRNA from 1 species
GGGUGGGAAUCAUAUCAUACAGAUAACAGAACAUACGAGGCGAUUGUACUGCUGCUACCAAUUAUCGACAAAGCUGACUACAAAGACCUCGUAUCUGAGACGAGUUUGGGUCGUUCAGCCAGUACGUCCCAUUUUUACCAUUAUUGGAGCAUGUUAACGUAUACUGAUUACCCGUUUGCUCAGACUGUCAUGACACAGGGUUUGUGUCACAGCUCCACCUUGAAGUAG